rnacentral:rRNA from 1 species
CGGCUCAGUAACACGUGGAUAACCUACCCUUGAGACGGGGAUAAACCCGGGAAACUGGGUAUAAUACCCGAUAGAUCUCGACUGCUGGAAUGCAUCGAGCUUGAAAGCUCCGGCGCUCAAGGAUGGGUCUGCGGCCUAUCAGGUAGUAGUGGGUGUAGCGUACCUACUAGCCUACGACGGGUACGGGUUGUGAGAGCAAGAGCCCGGAGAUGGAUUCUGAGACACGAAUCCAGGCCCUACGGGGUGCAGCAGGCGCGAAAACUUUACAAUGCUGGAAACAGCGAUAAGGGGACCUCGAGUGCCAGGUUACAAAUCUGGCUGUCGUGAUGCCUAAAAAGCAUUGCAUAGCAAGGGCCGGGCAAGACCGGUGCCAGCCGCCGCGGUAACACCGGCGGCUCGAGUGGUAACCGUUAUUAUUGGGUCUAAAGGGUCUGUAGCCGGCCGGAUAAGUCUCUUGGGAAAUCUGGCAGCUUAACUGUCAGGCUUUCAGGAGAUACUGUCUGGCUCGAGGCCGGGAGAGGUGAGAGGUACUUCAGGGGUAGGGGUGAAAUCUUGUAAUCCUUGAAGGACCACCAGUGGCGAAGGCGUCUCACCAGAACGGACCUGACGGCAAGG